UGGCUUGGAAAGGUACUAUAUCCACACUGGGAUAGGGUAGGGAUAAGGGAGGGGGUAGUAGAGACCCUUGGCUUGGAAAGGUACUAUAUCCACACUGGGAUAGGGUAGGGAUAAGGGAGGGGGUAGUAGAGACCCUUGGCUUGGAAAGGUACUAUAUCCACACUGGGAUAGGGUAGGGAUAAGGGAGGGGGUAGUAGAGACCCUUGGCUUGGAAAGGUACUAUAUCCACACUGGGAUAGGGUAGGGAUAAGGGAGGGGGUAGUAGAGACCCUUGGCUUGGAAAGGUACUAUAUCCACACUGGGAUAGGGUAGGGAUAAGGGAGGGGGUAGUAGAGACCCUUGGCUUGGAAAGGUACUAUAUCCACACUGGGAUAGGGUAGGGAUAAGGGAGGGGGUAGUAGAGACCCUUGGCUUGGAAAGGUACUAUAUCCACACUUUUCUAACCGCUUUUAUAUACAUUGUCAAUUCAAGUCACAUACAAAACCAAAUUCCUAACGUGAGGUAACAGAGACUACAGUAAGCCUGAACAGUUAGUUUUGUAGGUACUGUAUGAGGUGAAACAACGACCAACAAGGCUCAGAAAUGAAUGAUAAUUUGUCUACAACUUUAUAGGAGAUAAUGAUUCUACAGCAAUACCUCUGGGUGUUAUUCAUAAGCCCCCGUAACCCUUUCCAUUUAGCAACAGCUGCUAAGCUCAAUAAAUGAUGCCUUGUGCUCAGCUACACAGAGAAGGCUAUU